AUUGAACGCUGGCGGCAGGCCUAACACAUGCAAGUCGAGCGAGCGGCGGACGGGUGAGUAAUGUCUGGGAAACUGCCUGAUGGAGGGGGAUAACUACUGGAAACGGUAGCUAAUACCGCAUACCAUCGGAUGUGCCCAGAUGGGAUUAGCUGGUAGGUUGGGUAACGGCUCACCUAGGCGACGAUCCCUAGCUGGUCUGAGAGGAUGACCAACAACACUGGAACUGAGACACGGUCCAGAAUCCUACGGGAGGCAGCAGUGGGGAAUAUUGCACAAUGGGCGCAAGGCUGAUGCAGCCAUGCCGCGUGUGUGAAGAAGGCCUUAGGGUUGUAAAGCACUUUCAGCGGGGAGGCGUUACCCGCAGAAGAAGCACCGGCUAACUCCGUGCCAGCAGCCGCGGUAAUAC
rnacentral:rRNA from 1 species